GAUGAACGCUGGCGGCGUGCCUAAUACAUGCAAGUCGAGCGAACAGACGAGGAGCUUGCUCCUCUGACGUUAGCGGCGGACGGGUGAGUAACACGUGGAUAACCUACCUAUAAGACUGGGAUAACUUCGGGAAACCGGAGCUAAUACCGGAUAAUAUAUUGAACCGCAUGGUUCAAUAGUGAAAGACGGUUUUGCUGUCACUUAUAGAUGGAUCCGCGCCGCAUUAGCUAGUUGGUAAGGUAACGGCUUACCAAGGCAACGAUGCGUAGCCGACCUGAGAGGGUGAUCGGCCACACUGGAACUGAGACACGGUCCAGACUCCUACGGGAGGCAGCAGUAGGGAAUCUUCCGCAAUGGGCGAAAGCCUGACGGAGCAACGCCGCGUGAGUGAUGAAGGGCUUCGGAUCGUAAAACUCUGUUAUUAGGGAAGAACAAAUGUGUAAGUAACUAGGCACGUCUUGACGGUACCUAAUCAGAAAGCCACGGCUAACUACGUGC
rnacentral:rRNA from 1 species